AUCCCUUGACAUCCUGCGAACUUUCUAGAGAUAGAUUGGUGCCUUCGGGAACGCAGUGACAGGUGCUGCAUGGCUGUCGUCAGCUCGUGUCGUGAGAUGUUGGGUUAAGUCCCGCAACGAGCGCAACCCUUAUCAUUAGUUGCUAACAUUUAGUUGAGAACUCUAAUGAGACUGCCGGUGAUAAACCGGAGGAAGGCGGGGACGACGUCAAGUCAUCAUGGCCCUUAUGGGAUGGGCUACACACGUGCUACAAUGGGGGGUACAAAGAGCAGCCAACUGGCGACAGUGCGCGAAUCUCAUAAAACCUCUCGUAGUCCGGAUCGGAGUCUGCAACUCGACUCCGUGAAGUCGGAAUCGCUAGUAAUCGUGAAUCAGAAUGUCACGGUGAAUACGUUCCGCGGGCCU
rnacentral:rRNA from 1 species